UACGGGGGGGGCAAGCGUUGUUCGGAAUUACUGGGCGUAAAGGGCUCGUAGGCGGCCAACUAAGUCGGACGUGAAAUCCCUCGGCUUAACCGGGGAACUGCGUCCGAUACUGGAUGGCUUGAGUUUGGGAGAGGGAUGCGGAGUUCCAGGUGUAGCGGUGAAAUGCGUAGAUAUCUGGAGGAACACCGGUGGCGAAGGCGGCAUCCUGGACCAACACUGACGCUGAUGAGCGAAAGCCAGGGGAGCAAACGGG
rnacentral:rRNA from 1 species